GUAGGUGGCAAGCGUUGUCCGGAAUUAUUGGGGCGUAAAGCGCGCGCAGGCGGUUCUUUAAGUCUGAUGUGAAAGCCCACGGGCUCAACCGUGGAGGGUCAUUGGAAACUGGAGAACUUGAGUACAGAAGAGGAAGGCGGAAUUCCACGUGUAGCGGUGAAAUGCGUAGAGAUGUGGAGGAACACCAGUGGCGAAGGCGGCUUUCUGGUCUGUAACUGACGCUGAGGCGCGAAAGCGUGGGGAGCAAACAGGAUUAGAUACCCUGGUAGUCCACGCCGUAAACGAUGAGUGCUAAGUGUUAGGGGGUUUCCGCCCCUUAGUGCUGCAGCUAACGCAUUAAGCACUCCGCCUGGGGAGUACGGCCGCAAAGGCUG
rnacentral:rRNA from 1 species